AUGCGUUAUUACUGACAUCCUGAAAUUAGAACGUUUCACUGUUCUGAUGAAUGUUCUGUUGUGCUGGAGGGAACAUGCUCUUCCCACCAGAAUGUGCAGAGCCUACCAAAGACUGGAACAGAUGCUGGUGGCUACUUAACCUCUGCCUUGUGCUACCCUGCUGCUACAGCAGGACAUUGCAGAUUCCUAUCAGCUAAACAUGGGUGUGCAAAGAAAGCAGGGCUAUAAAUAAUGCAACCAGCAACAUCAUGAAAAGAGUAGAAGAAAUUCAAACAAUAACUAUGCUAACUGGAAAUAUUUUAUUGUUCAAUGAAAAACAGCUGAGCUCCAUCACAAAAGGCCACUUUCAUUGGAAGUGCUGACUGUGGCCAAGAAAGGAAAGGAAAUUCCAUGAGAGAAGGGUUUUCCUUACAGA